UGGGGAAUAUUGCGCAAUGGGCGAAAGCCUGACGCAGCGACGCCGCGUGUGGGAUGACGGCCUUCGGGUUGUAAACCACUGUCGGGAGGGACGAAUGCGCCGCAAGGCGAGUGACGGUACCUCCAAAGGAAGCACCGGCUAACUCCGUGCCAGCAGCCGCGGUAAUACGGAGGGUGCGAGCGUUGUCCGGAAUCACUGGGCGUAAAGGGCGCGUAGGUGGCGACCCAAGUCAAUGGUGAAAGCUCGCCGCUUAACGGCGAGUCGGCCACUGAUACUGGGUUGCUCGAGCACUGUAGAGGCUAAUGGAAUUCCGGGUGUAGCGGUGGAAUGCGUAGAGAUCCGGAAGAACACCGGUGGCGAAGGCGGUUAGCUGGGCAGUUGCUGACACUGAGGCGCGACAGCGUGGGGAGCAAACA
rnacentral:rRNA from 1 species